CCACGCAGGGUGUUGAUGGACCCCCGGGCUUCCCAGGAACCCCUGGAGAUCCCGGAACGAAAGGAGAGAAGGGAGAGCGCGGCGAUGGUCAGCCCGGUGCCAGAGGGCCACCGGGUCCUCCCGGACCGCCGGGACCAGGAAGCAGAUCUACUUACGUGGACAUGGAGGGCUCAGGAUUCCCUGAUCUGGAAUCAAUUCGGGUCAGUGCGGUACCAGCGCAAUACGUGAAAGGAUACACAACGGAACGUGU